rnacentral:lncRNA from 1 species
CUGACUAAGAAACCCUGAUGAAGAAAAAUUAGGACUAGUUAAAAAUUUGUAAAAAUUCUUUUUUCUGGACAAAAGUUAGAUCUUUGAGUAAGUGGUAUUUUCUGAGUAUGUGAAAAAUGUGUGCUUUCUGCAGAAAACAAAGUGUUUGUCAUAACAUUUUGACUGAAAAGAAAGUUGGUCUGCAGGAUUCUUUUAGCUAACAUUUUUUGGUUUAUAGGUGAAAAACAGACUUGUUCCAGAGGGAGAAGCAAGAGGAAGAGGAAUGGUCAGCUGGCCAAAUAAUUGUCAAGGCUGUUGCAAAUCCCACAGAGGAGGUUGGGGAGCCUGGAGUGAUGUGCACUUGUCACGACUCACCCAGCAACAAAGAGUUCCCAAGCACUGGACUCUGAGCCAGCCAGCAGGACACUUUAUGACUCCACUAACAAAACCAAUAAUUAGACUUACAGAGAAUGACAGCUAUGAAAAAUAAACAGCAACAAAGAUUAAAGACUCCAAAGCUGCCCAACCAAUGGGAGCCAAAGUUUAUGUACUCAGACCUCUUAGAGCUCCCCUGUGGUCUUUUGGCAAUUUGAUUUAAUUCAGUCUGUACUUCCAACAAAUAAUUUUAAAAUUAAAUGNNNNNNNNNNNNNNNNNNNNNNNNNNNNNNNNNNNAAAAAAAAAGAACAACCCAAACACCACAAUACUUUUGUCCAGUAUUCACGUUUAGUUGAUUACAGCUCUACAGCUUCCAGGAAAUCUUGGAAAGCUUUAAUAGUCAGACAACUGUUACUGGAUCCAUUAAUUCCUCUUUUUUUUUUUUGCAGAUGUUUUUUCCUUCACUUAUAGCACAACAGGACUCACCACUUCCAGUCAUAGUCAGCUAGGAAGAUGGGAGUCCCCUGUCCCUGUGGGAAAUGAACAUACACACGGCCAACAUACAGGACUCCACACAUGUAAGGGAGGAAGAACUAUUCCUGGUCCCGCCUGCGGCACCACUAAAGAAGUAAGAGAAGGAUUUAAACACACACUUUCUGGCACCAAGGGUGCUAGCCCACAGUUAGCAAUAGCUUUGAAUUUUCAUGCAGCAAAUUGCAUAUUGACUUUCAUCCUCCCAGCCAUGUUUUAUGGAUAAACACCAGUCACUCAAUGUUGGAUUGAGAAGUUUCACCUACCUGCACUCCCCCAGAUCCUCCUUCAAUAAAUUUUGAAAAAUCUAUCA